ACUUUCAACAACGGAUCUCUUGGUUCCGGCAUCGAUGAAGAACGCAGCGAAAUGCGAUAAGUAAUGUGAAUUGCAGAAUUCCGUGAAUCAUCGAAUCUUUGAACGCACAUUGCGCCCCCUGGCAUUCCGGGGGGCAUGCCUGUUCGAGCGUCAUUUCAGCCCCUCAAGCCCGGCUUGUGUGAUGGACGACCGUCCGGCGCCCCCGUCUCUGGGGGUGCGGGACGCGCCCGAAAAGCAGUGGCCAGGCCGCGAUUCCGGCUUUCUAGGCGAAUGGGCAACAAACCAGCGCCUCCAGGACCGGCCGCCCUGGCCUCAAAAUCUGUUUUAUACUUAUCAGGUUGACCUCGGAUCAGGUAGGGAUACCCGCUGAACUUAAGCAUAUCAAUAAGCGGAGGAAAAGAAACCAACAGGGAUUGCCUCAGUAACGGCGAGUGAAGCGGCAAGAGCUCAAAUUUGAAAUCUGGCCUCCCCCGGGGGCCCGAGUUGUAAUUUGCAGAGGAUGUUUCGGGUGCGGCCGCCGUCUAAGUUCCUGGAACAGGACGUCAGAGAGGGUGAGAAUCCCGUCUGGGCGGGCGUCCGCGCCCGUGUGAAGCUC